UUCAAAACUGUUGUCUCUUUAGCUUUAUUUUAAAACAAACCUACACAUUUUAAGACAAAUGCAUAGUUUGCAUGAAUACGAAUACACACAAUGUUUUAAGCUAUGCCCAGAAAAGACAGUGCCCAGGGAAAUACCAUUUCCACCACCAAAGUGGAACUGAGGGAACCCUCAGCCUACUCCCUCCACACAUGGACUAGACCCAUGGGUGAGCAGGCACAGCAGCAGCCUGUGACAGACCUGUGCACCGCGCACACUACCAGUCCCCUUCUCCUGGAGGGUACAUGACAGCAAAGCGUGGGCCAGCAGCAGACUGCUGGGCUGAAACAAUACAUCAUUUGAGAUAUUCUAGAGACAAAAAUUUUGGCAUCUAUUACGAGGGACUAUUCAUCACUUCAUUAUUGCUGUGCUUGUCUCCUCUGAGAAAAGGGAUUGCCAGCUCAUGACAGAAGUAUUUUGAUGUUUAAGUACCAAAUGCUACAGAGGCAUGACAGAGAGAAGCCCGUGUGACUUUCCAGCUAAAGAAAAUUUUACAUUUUCUUAAGCGUUUACUUUAUUUGAGCCUUCAAUAUAAGGAAAAAUAACUCUUCCUCAGAUAGGAUACUACAAAUGAAACAUUAUUUCAUUACAAUAACGAGAAUAGUUUAUGUAAGUUAUGCAAUUUGAAAUACAUUUCUGAAAACUGUUUAAAAUGUUUUACAUCUAAGCUGCAAUCUAUUACCAAAGCAGUCAUAUAUAUUAUUUGACUAUGUAGUCCUGAGUUUCAUUUUCUGCAGUGAUUCAGAUGAAUAGCUUCUGACAUAUAUACAGCUUGAAAGCUCAAUACUUUAAUGCAUGAGAUACAAAGAAACAAGCCAUCAACACAGUUGCAUUGUACUCUGCCAUUCUAAAGCCUCACAUCAAAUACACAACAAAGCUAAAAUCUACUGCACAGACACUGCUUCUCUUAAAAAGCUCCCCGUCAAGGACAAACAAACGUAAUUUUUCAGGUACGAUCACCGUGAAGCUAUAACAGAAAUACCUGGCACAUACUCCUCUGAGGUGCAACAGAUUUACAACACCUGAAACCGAAUAUUGAUAGUACUGCACAACAAGAGAAAACGUUUUCUUUGAAAGUCUGUCAGGUUGAAGCUUCGGUAUCACUGGAAGCAGGAAUAACGUUCCUUAAAAGUACUGGCAUCGCUCUGCACAUAAUGCCAAGUGUAAUUCUUUGACAGAUCAAACCAAACGCUUAAGAGAUUUUAUACAUAACUGGAACUCCUCAACUGUAGGCUUGUUUUAACAGCGAACUUAACUAGUAAGAAAGUCACAUCAUUUUUUCUUGAAGAACACCGCAUUUAAGACCUCAUUAGGAAAAAAAAAUAAAAUUAAUCUUUGCGUUACUGCAGGCAUUUUUUCUAGAGAACCACCUUCUCGGUAUCCUGCUCUAUCAGAAGUUCUAGACAAGAAACGCUGAAGGACACGACAAGAAAGAGCAGCUGUAGAACGCUCAAAAUUAUUUUGCGUGGUAUUCUGCCGAGUUGAGAUGGACUAAACCAGACGGCUUCACAAGCUCCGUGCAAGGCCCUUCUCCCGCGCUAGCGCGGCACCAGCCGCGCUCACGGCACCACAACACAGCAACGUCAAAAAUAAGCAACUUCGUGCGAGAAAAGCGCAUUGCUCCUUCCCAAACGCGCGCGGGUGGAGCCGCACGCUAGGCCGAGCGAGCUCUGGAGACAAUUGUUUUAGCGCCGCUUCGCAAGCUUGCCCUCCGUCACAAAGGAAGCGACACGAAAAAAAAAAAAAAAGGAAAAAAGAAAAAAAAAAAAGGAAAAAAGAAAAAAAAAGUAGAACUAAAUCAAACGCCAGAUUCACGCGCGGUGGCGGCGGGGCAGGGUGCGCGCCAGGACACCCCUCCCCGCCCUGACGCAGCGGCUAACGGGCGCCCCGCACCCACGAGGGGGCGGCCGGCCUGGGGCGCCCCGCGCCCCCCGGGGGCCAGGCCGACGAGGGGGCGGCGGCGGCGCGGGCCCAGCGCGCCCCGCGGUGCGGGAUGCCGGCGGGCAGGCGCGGGCAGGCCCGGUGAAAGAGAGGGGGGAGGGAAGGGGCUGGGCCGCGCGGAGCAGGCGGGCGGCGGAGCCGCGGCUUUAUUCGUGUGGGUCGGUGCCGGCGCUGCCCCCGCUCGCUGCCCCUCGCCGCCUCCCCUGCGCUUGGCGCGGCGGGCGAGGCCCGUGGCGGCGGCCGGCGGCGGCGCGGCAGCCCCAGCCGGAGAUGGCGGUGGUUA
ensembl:lncRNA